UACGGAGGGUGCGAGCGUUAAUCGGAAUUACUGAACGUAAAGCGUACGCAGGCGGUUUGUUAAGCGAGAUGUGAAAGCCCCGGACUUAACCUGGGAACUGCAUUUCGAACUGACAGGCUAGAGUGUGAUAGAGGAUGAUAGAAUUUCAGGUGUAGCGAUGAAAUGCGUAGAGAUCUGAAGGAAUACCGAUGGCGAAGACAGCCACCUGGGUCAACACUGACGCUCAUGUACGAAAGCGUGGGGAGCAAACAGGAUUAGAUACCCGUGUAGUCC
rnacentral:rRNA from 1 species